rnacentral:misc_RNA from 1 species
GAUGAAGAACGCAGCGAAAUGCGAUAAGUAAUGUGAAUUGCAGAAUUUAGUGAAUCAUCGAAUCUUUGAACGCACAUUGCGCCCCCUGGUAUUCCGGGGGGCAUGCCUGUCCGAGCGUCAUUACAACCCUCAAGCUCAGCUUGGUAUUGGGCCCCGCCGACCCGGCGGGCCCUAAAGUCAGUGGCGGUGCCGUCCGGCUCCGAGCGUAGUAAUUCUUCUCGCUCUGGAGGUCCGGUCGUGUGCUCGCCAGCAACCCCCAAUUUUUUUCAGGUUGACCUCGGAUCAGGUAGGGAUACCCGCUGAACUUAAGCAUAUCAAUAAGCGGAGGA